GAUGAACGCUGGCGGCGUGCCUAAUACAUGCAAGUCGAGCGAACGGACGAGAAGCUUGCUUCUCUGAUGUUAGCGGCGGACGGGUGAGUAACACGUGGAUAACCUACCUAUCAGACUGGGAUAACUUCGGGAAACCGGCGCUAAUACCGGAUAAUAUUUUGAACCGCAUGGUUCAAAAGUGAAAGACGGUCUUGCUGGCACUUAUAGAUGGAUCCGCGCUGCAUUAGCUAGUUGGUAAGGUAACGGCUUACCAAGGCAACGAUGCAUAGCCGACCUGAGAGGGUGAUCGGCCACACUGGAAGUUAGACACGGUCCAGACGCCUACGAGAGGCAGCAGUAGGGAAUCUUCCGCAAUGGGCGAAAGCCUGACGGAGCAACGCCGCGUGAGUUAUGAAGGUCUUCGGAUCGUAAAACUCUGUUAUGAGGGAAGAACAUAUGUGUAAGUAACUGUGCACAUCUUGACGGUACCUAAUCAGAAAGCCACGGCUAACUACGUG
rnacentral:rRNA from 1 species